rnacentral:rRNA from 1 species
AUUGAACGCUGGCGGCAGGCCUAACACAUGCAAGUCGAACGAGUGGCGGACGGGUGAGUAAUGUCUGGGAAACUGCCCGAUGGAGGGGGAUAACUACUGGAAACGGUAGCUAAUACCGCAUACCAUCGGAUGUGCCCAGCUGGGAUUAGCUAGUAGGUGGGGUAACGGCUCACCUAGGCGACGAUCCCUAGCUGGUCUGAGAGGAUGACCAUCCACACUGGAACUGAGACACGGUCCAGACUCCUACGGGAGGCAGCAGUGGGGAAUAUUGCACAAUGGGCGCAAGCCUGAUGCAGCCAUGCCGCGUGUAUGAUGAAGGCCUUCGGGUUGUAAAGUACUUUCAGCGGGGAGGCGUUACUCGCACAAGAAGCACCGGCUAACUCCGUGCCAGCCGCCGCGGUAAUUC